UAUACUUAUAUUAUAUUAGAUUAUUAAAAUACAUAAACUAUGAAAAACCAAAUAAAGAUUUUAUGCUUAUAUAUAUAUCCUUUGUUUAGUGUGUUUAAUAAAUAAUUAAAGUGGCUAUGCUAAUCUGAAUCUUAAUAAUAAAACUCUAGCAUGGAUAUGAUGAAUAGUUGGUCUGCUUAAUUUGCAAAUUUGAAGUUCUCUCUCAAGUUUAGACAUAACUGUUAUAAUUUAAAGCUUGCUCUAGAUCUAAACUUGUGGGAUGAAAACUUGAUCUGAAAUCUAAGUUGUUAACAGAUAUGAUAUGGGAAGGUUGAGCUGCUGUUUAUCUAUUCCUAUAGAUGCUAGAUUUCUAGAGAAUUUUAUCUUUGAAAAAUCUUUAAAAUAUUGCAUGAUGAGUUCCUGUAUGAUGAAAGUUUAAAUUCCUACCACAGCCAUAUAUACAUGCUUGCUAGACUUUGAGCCACACAUUUACUAUUUACUGCUUAUGAGCAUUGAGUGUGGUCAAGCUGUGUAGACCCUUAGGAGCUUGUCAUGUGGUUAAAUCAAGGUUUCACUUGCACAUUCACUCAUAUCUACUUCUACUCCGGACGUACCACCCACAUAUAUCCACUCAUUUCCAUCUCCAGAACCACCCAAAAAUAUUCUACUCCUAAUCCAAGAGAGAAUAACCAAAAAUAUUUCUGUUUUUCCUUGUGAAAUAAAUGCUCAAGUUAUCUUGUUACUACCACUUGCUAUAUUAUCUCAUGAGAUAAGUGCUCUAAAAAAAAGAGGAGAGAAAAAAAUAUACGAGGAAAUAAAAAGGGGCAAGUGCCCGGAACCUCGAAAGAAAAGAAAAAGAGUGAGACGAGAGGUAAAAAUGGACAUGUGUCCGACAGUAGAAUUAGGGGUACAGGCUACCCACCUGAGAGGAAAGAAAAAUGAAAGAUAGAGCAUCUCAUUCUCCUCAUAAAGUUUUAAAAAGCAAGUAAGGUAUGUAUCCCCUGAAAAGAGCAAAAGUAGAAUUAGACUUCCACCAUUGUUAUCACCAUCAUCACCAUACACCAUUCAUUCGCCACACAUGCACAUCUUGAUUUGACUUAUUGACUUGUUUCUCUGGAUCCAUGGUUUGACUAUGCAAUAAAUGUCUUGUAAGUAUGUAUUAGCUGUCUCCCACCUAUGAGCUCCAGAUAUUAAAGCCUUAUUAGAGUAGGGUGAGAGAGAAGGCAAUGUCACUAUGCCUUAUACCACAAAUACCACAUAUCUUGAGAGAAGGCAUAUACCAUCACUGCCUUGGUAAGGAUCCAGAAAUACCACAAAAGAGAGAUUUAGAGAGUCAUACAAGGAAUCUCUGAGUUUUAUUUGAAAAUCUGCAAAAACUCCAGAGCUAUAGCUGAUCAAGAAUAAGAGACAUGACACUUGGCUAGACUUUUCUAUCUUUUAACUACUCAAGACAGAAGUGACGGUUACAAGUCCCAUGGUGAAAGAUAAAGUAAGUAAGUUUUAGUUCUUGACAGUUUACUAUAUCUCAGAGAUGAGAUCUUAUUUAAAAGCAUUUGUACCGUCAAAUUUUUAAGAUAUUGCAACAACUUCUGAUCCAUUGCUGAGUCUAUCCUUGCUCAGGGACGAGCAAGAGGUAAGCUUGGGGGAGUUUGUUGACGGUCCUUAAGUAUCAAAUUUAAUUAUCAAAUAAACAAAGAAAAGGAUCCAAAUGAAAUCAACAUCUAGACUUAGGGUUUUAUCUGACAGAAUUCCACGAGUUUUGGUGUUUGUCUAUUUCUGCAGGGGUUUAUCAGGAAAUACGGAAGAAAGGCCCACACGUCGGGAUUACAUAGAGAUAUUAACGUGCCGCGCAAUUAUCUUACAUCUAGAAGACUCCAGAAGCCACGGGAAGGAAGCGGAGGCCGAACGGGGCCAGAGGCAGGGCGCCCGCCCUCCUGCCCUGGGCGCCCGCCCUGACUUGGAGCCCAAUCAGGACUCUUUCUCUCGGGAGAUCUCCACCGACCUAAAGGAUCAAGAAUAACCGUUCAAUCAAUGUCGGUUUGAUCCGACGGCCCAGGUUCACUUGAGGGGACUAUAUAACCAGACCCCUAGGCCCCUGGAGGAGGCACCCCUUGAUCAUUAUUCAUUAUUCAUAGACAGAGCAAAAGCUAGGGUUUAGAGAUGAGAGCUCUCCUCUCUUCUCUAAACUAGAGUAGAUCUAGAUAGUAGCAAGAUGGAGAGCGAAGGAGGAUUAGAGGAGAGGCCGGCCUGUCGGUUCUUCCUCCGGUUGUACUUCGUCAUGAUCAAGCUCUAAUCAAGCUUCCUCAUGGGAUGACUCUGGUAAUCUACUUCUAAUUCAUUAUGCAAUUACUAAUCAUGUAUGUUCUGGUUCACAACUCUUUUGAGUACUUUAAUCUAUAGGACGCUAUAGGUGAGAGUUGUAGUAUAGGUGUAAGCGAGGUGCUUAGAUCUAGAUUACUUGUGGAUAUCUCCUGUCUAACUGGAUCUUGGGGUAGGCCGCGUAGGUGACAGUUACGUUGGUCCUCUGUAGUCCACCUCUCGUUAGUAGGACGGGUAGGGUUUAUCGGCCUAAGGAUAAGCAUCCUUUGUGGUGUACUCUUCUCACGUAGUUCGUCCCAGACAUAGACAUACCCCUUUGAAGUAGAGAAACCAUAGUUAUUCUCUCUAUUCUGCUACCAUCGCCCACAUACUAGAAUUGCUCUACUCUCUAUUCUCAUAUUAUCACCUAUUGUUAUCUUACCUUUAAUAUUGUUCUUAUUCGAUUCUACCAUCUUUCCUAUUUACACCUACCUAUCUAUCUUGGUUAAGUUAGAGCGUAGUUGGUGCUCCUGUUUCCCUGUGGAUACGAUAAAACCUUUAACCGGGUAAAAAGCUUCAGCGGUAUCCGUGCGCUUGCGGAUUAUCUGUGUGCGUAUAAAUACCAUAGUACACUCUAGUGCCAUGCUGGGGAUGACAACCUAGUAUUCAAGUGGUGUUAGCAAGUGUCAACACUGACCUUUUGCCAGUCCCUUGGCAAACCGAGCCUAAGCAGUAUAUGUAUUUGGAUCAAGAGUUGCUACAAUGUUUUCAUCCUUUCCAAGUACACAUGCUCUCAAACAAAGAUUCUUCUCUAGAUUAGUCCAUACUUGCUCUAAUCUUCAAACUUACCCGUUUUACCUUUAACCAUGGGGCUUUAUAGCUUUUGCAUGAGCCUUGAGUAAUUAGAAGACAAAACAAUCAGGUCAAGCACUAUGUCUCAAAUUCUUUGCAAAACCAUUAUUUUGAAGUUUUUAUAAGUUUUUAGAAUAAAACUCAGAUCUUAAUUGUAGGACACCCUCAAGUCUCUCAAUGUAUGUGGUAUUUAUGGUUCUCUCUUGAGGCAGUUAUACCUCCUAAAGAUAUAUAUAUGUAGAGCUUAUAGGAGUGCUAAUAACAAGGAUAAGCUUACUUGCAAUGCAUGUAUUGUAAAUUCAACUAAUGUAUCCACAGAGAAUCGAGGCAUACAAUCAAACCAAGGUGUGCAUGUGUAUGGAACAUGGUGGAUAGGUGUAUUUGUGGUAUUUGUGGCUAAUUUAUAUUUUCUUGGGGAUAACUCUCUAUUGAAACAUUUCAGGAAAGACAUGGGCUAUCUUUAUUAUUCAAUUUUUAAUUAACAGGGAGGUGGGCAUCUAGUACCCAUUAUUUUAAUUAUUGGGAUACUUGUCAAUCUUUUACUCCCAUCUCUUCUUUUAUAUUUUUGCAUAGCCACAUGUAUCCUUUAAAUACAAUAAAUGAUUAUAGAGGUAAUAACAAAAACUUAGAACAUUAAAGAUGAGGGUUAUCCUAUGGGGUGAUUGUUGGUGUUUACUCCUAGUAUAGGAAUAAUGCAUAUAUGAACUGGACUGUGUACGUGAUCUUGGUUUUAAAAGCAUGUUUUGACACCGUUUUUGGACACGUAUCUUUUAACGCGUAUCUGGGGAUAGUAAAGUAUAGAUUGGCAGAUGAAGCAAUGGUUACUAGUCUACAGGGAAGUUACCGAUGAAGGUGGUUGCCGAUGAGGAAACAAUUGAAUGUGACUAAGUCCAGAGGUGGUGACGUGUUCGUGCCGAUGACCAGUAUCAAUGCCAAUGGCCACAACAGGAGAUCUACCGAUGGCUCUAAAGGAAAGCGUGGAGGUUGCAGAUUGAUCUGUGGCGGUGCCCCGGUCGGCUACAAGGGGGUAGUUUUAUGUUUUUCUUAGUUAUUAGAAUUCGUUUUGUGUACGGGUUCCAUUUAGUUUGGAAUUCGAGUCCUAGUCGUGUCUGGUUGUAGCUCUUCGGACGGGGUACAAAUGUAGACCCUAGAGCAAUGUAAUGAGAAUCUAUCAAUCAAUCAAACACAAGUUUUUACUCAUAUUCCAGCAUCUACUUUUUCGACGACUUCGUCAUAUUUUCUUUUUACUACGAGUUCUUAGGAAUCUGUCGACUUACGCUCGGUGUGUUUUCAAGUUCCGCGUGAACACCUCUUGGCCGUGGCAUCCGGGCGCAUCGCUGUUGUCAGGACCAAAGUGUUCGAGUUACCACCUUUGCCGAUUGUGAGGUCAAAUCGGCUGGCACGCCUUAACGUUUGAAUCGGGUAUUAGCCCUUUGUGUUUGUAGAUUAGCUUUUGCACCAACACAUCUUUUGGCACGCCUGGUGGGACAGAUUCAAGAUCAAGAUCAACAUGGCGAAUACUGAGUUCGACUUGGAGAACGUCAUCCCCGUGACGGAAGCCAAUCUCAGAGAUGUGGAGAAGCAAGCUAUUGAAAAAGCUAUGUAGGACUACAAGCAGCAAUGUUUGAAAUCCUUCAGCAUCAACACGAGCGGCGAGGUGAUCCAGAAGGAAGCAUUGCCGGCACCUCGGCAGAUUACUUUCGAGGCCAAUCUUGGUAAACUCCAAGACAUGGUUGACAAUGCUAUUAACCACACCUUGAUUAAUCAAGCUGGUGUGUUGUCUAACACGGUUUUCAAUGCUGUGGCUAGAACAUUUAAGGAGGGACAAUUGCCACCAAAUUAUGUGGGCCCUGCCUAUCAUCAGCCAGGAUCACCAAUGGUCACAGCUGCAUCGGCCACUACGGCCGCUGCGGGCACGGAAACUACUGCUCUUCCAAGCAUAUUAGGAAUCACUAAUGCGCAAUCUACACCGAUGACGACCAAUCCAACAACAUCGGACGAGCAAAUCAAGCUUGCCACAGAUCUAUUGGCAUCGGCAAUGUCGGGAUCUGUUCCUCCUAAUUGGUGGGGUUAUGGUAUGCCCCCUGAGAUGAUAAUGAAGACUCCUGGAACAUCUCAAGUGGCUGACUUGACAGGCAAGGCUCCUAUGGCAUCGGCACCUCUAAAUCUGCCGAUGAAUCAGAGUCCCCAGUAUACUACGACUACUACUACACACUAGGAAUUCUCAAGCUCCAACGUUCCAGAUGCCUAACGCGUCGGCAGAUUCAAUGCCGACGCAGAGGUUUAUGACACAACCAGGGUAUGUCAAUUCAAUGAUGAUGCCCAAUUUCUAGCCAUCGGCAGGGUUUAUUCCGAUGAAUGCUAACAGCGCAUGGACGGGAUAGUUAGUCUUUCCACAGAUGCCUCAGCAGAAUCAUCAGGCUCCAGGGUUUCAACAAGGCCAAAUUCAACCUGGGUUUCAGAAUCAAGGGUUGGCCAACCAGCCUAUGAAUCUUGGUGUUGAUAUUUGGGAACGCAAUAAGGAAUUGAUCCGCAAGCGCACGGAUAUCGGUGAGCACUUCACCCGGGAAAUUAUCCAGAGUAUCGUAUUUAUUUUUUUUACCACUAGGAGAAAGAGUGCAUCUAACUAACCGGUCUAUUACUACUAACCUUUAGGCACAAAGAAUGUCUUUCGAUGUGAGUGAUAAAUAGAGAAGACUGCAACCGUAGUCUCCUUCUAACCUUGGUAAGGAUGAUCUACUGUUCUAAUGGGGAGGCUAACAGAAUCUAGACACCACAAAGGAUGUUCGACCCGCACCUAUAAACCCUAUCCUUCCUGCUAACGAGAUGUGAUCUACAAAGGUAGCUCGGAAUUGUCAUGUUCCUCACUACUACCACGGUCCAGCUAGUCAGGGAAUAUCUAUGAGUACCCCAGCCUAAACACCGCGUUUACGCCAGCAAUGAUUACUCUAAACUCUACGCGAAGAGAUUAAAGUAAACUCAUAAACCAUAAGAACAAUAAAACAAGAACUUACUAGAAUUUAGAAGUCGAAUUACUGAAGAAUCCUAGGAGCAAGCUUCGGGUUACGAGAACUUAAUCCCGCAGGUACAAGCUUGGAGUAGACACCGACAGGCCGGGCUUCCUCCACUCUACACCUCCACUCUAUCUCUCUCAAUCUAGUAGAAACUAGAAGAUCUAUUUCUACCUUACAUUGAUUGCUAAGCCUAAAAAGAAAUAUUAAUUAGAGAAGAGGUUUUCCUUCGAGGGCACCCCUCAGUCUCUAUGAUAAUUUCUUCAUGUCUUCUCCAGGGGCCAGGGGGGCCUUGCUUAUAUAGUGCUCCCCUUCUAUGCGUUUUUGGGUCGAUAGCCGAGGUGGUACUAUGUUUUUCUUGAUCCAAUAGGUCGGUGGAAUAUCCCGAACGAAAGAGUCCUGAUUUGGCUCCAGCAGGGGGGCGGGCGCCCAGGCUUCCAGGGCGGGCGCCCUGGGCCUGGCCCAGUUUUGCCUCCGCUUCGGUCUCGUGGCUUCUGGAGUCUUCUAGAUGAUGUAAAAUUGCGCGGUGCGUUGAUAUCUCUAUGUAAUCCUGACAUGUGGGCCUUUCUUCCUUAUUUCCUGAUAACCCCCUACAGAAACAGAUAAACAACAAAACUCGUGGAAUUCUGUCAGAUCAAACCCUAAUUCUAGGUGAUGGUUGCAUAUUGGUCCUUUCUCAUGUUUAUUUGAUAAUUAAAAUUGAUACUUAAGAACCGUCAACAAAUACCCCCAUACUUAGGCUUUUACUCGUCCUCGAGAAAAGGAUGGUUAAGAACAAUAUCUGGGGUAAACAUUUAAAACAUUCUCUUUAUAAUUGCAGGGUGUUAAAAAUUUCCACUGUGUACCAUAGCCAGGGAUGUAUAUGAUCAAGAGUAAAGAUCCUUUCUUCUCAAUCCUGUCACUUGGAGUUUUUGUAUAUUUUUGAAAGAAAGUUAGCAUACCUUUUUGAUCCUCAUAGGUUCUCUCAGAUCACUCAUUAUCUUUUAUAUAUAUCUCACUGAGGUUGUUUUAUUUUGCAAAAAUUCUCAAGCACACUUACUUUGCAUUUAUUGCCUGAUCAAAACGGGAUCCGAGGAGGGGAAUGUCAUACUCUUAGAUCAAAGACUUUGGAAAUUAAAAUCUUUGUCAACUCUUGCUGGCAUAUUGCUUAUUAGAGGGACCAUGGGCUAUCAUUUUCAUUUCAUUUUUUUUAAGUGGAUACCGAGGUACCCCUAAUUCUACUGCCGGACACUUGUCUAUUUUUUUCUGCGAGGUUGUCGAGCACUUGCUCCUUUUUAUUUCCUCGAAAUAUUUUUAUUUUUGCAUAGCCCAUGCCUCUAAUGCAAUAAUACUUCGGAAGAGUGAAUCUUUCUGAAAUAAUGUCUUGAUCUUAGGAGCAUGAUAAAUCUCUCAACAAGGGUCUAACUCAUUUUGAACAAACUCAAUACAGAGCAGAUAGCUUUUAUAAUCAUAAUUAAUAUUUCAGUUUUAUUAGGCAUAUAAAACACUGAGGAUGGUAGCUAGAAUUUUGAAUAUUUUGAAAUAAAUUCUCCAAGCAACAAUGAUAUCAAGAAUAAGAGACUCAUACUCUACCAUCACAUAUUCCAUAUUGACUUAAGUAACACAGGGUUUUAAAAUGAUUUUAUAAUAAUUGCAAGUUUUCACGAAAUAUCACAGAUUGAGAUUAAUCAUGAUUAGAAAUAUUUUAAUCUUUUUAUUUUAUCAUGUCGGAAACAAUAAUCUGCAUAAUCCAAAAUAAAUGUAUGUAUGAAGUAAAGUGUGCAGAGUGUGUACCUGAAUCGUGGAGUGGUGUAGUCGGAGUGUGUUUGGCAUGUUGAGGGAUCUCCCCCAUACUUGUUUUCUGCUUUCUUGCACAAAAAUAAAGUAGAGACACACAAGACAAUAAUAGUAAUACUCUUUAUUGAUCUUGAGGCAUUUAUUACCAAAGACUGAUAGCAAACUGAUAACAAACUGAUGAUAAUAGCAAACUGAUGAUAAUUGCAAACCUAAACCGAAUUUAAAGAUAAAUGACUAAGAUGUAUUGCCUCAAGGUCUAAUCUAGAUAACUUAGCGGCGCUCUAAUUCCUUGAUCUUCUUGUUGGCACUGGCAAGAUCCUGCCUAAGGCCUAGUAUAAUGGUGUUGUGGUUAGAGAGCUGCCUAGUGAGGGAAUUAAUCGAGGACUGGAGGUCUAUGAUAACUCUAUCUAGCCUGCGAACUUCCUCAUCAAUAUCCAUUAUAGUCUUGCGACGCUUGGGAGGUGUCUCAAAAGCAUUGAGAGAGUGCUUCGGGGCUGCCUUUGGAUGGAUGAAACGGACUUUGGAUGCUCUAAUCCCUUCAAAGUAAGGCCUUUCCUCCUCCGUAGUGUAGCGAAUGCUGCUGAUCUCGCCGCUCCGGUUGGUCUUGACUCCAACGACCCUCUCAUUGGGUCUGGGUGGAAGGAUCCUUGUGCCGAUUGGUACCUUGAUAGUGGUCUUCGUCUUGGAUGAUGGUCCUUUGAGGAGUAGGGGUUGUGGUGGUGCGGUGAGAACUGGUUGAGCAUGGUAAAAUUGGGCGGAGCUGCGUUGGCGUAAUGGCAUGGCUUCUAGCUGACGCUCUUUGUUGGCCAGGACGAGAGCACGGUCAUCGGGGUCUUCCACUGGCUCCAUGUUGAGGUGGAAGGGGACGACUUCCCAAUCGUCGUGGUACUUGUCGGCCAUUGGAGCAACAAGGAACUAAUAAAAUUUUAAUUGAAGUAGAGCUAAUUAAGCUCUAAUUGAAGGAGAGAAAGCUUGGUGGCUUGGUAUUUGAAAACUGAGGUCAGGGGUCUGUUUAUAUAGGGGUCAAAAGGAUGCCUCUAUGGGUUGUUCGGGUUGCUCCCGUCGAUGUGCGUGCGAAACUUUGCAUCCGAGGGAUUAUUCGGAUCACCCUAAGUGCAUUUUCCAUAACAGAGAAAGUCGGGACCGAGGGGGAACAGGGGCUGGGCGCCCGCCCACUUGACCUGGGCGCCCGCCCUCUCUCUGGCCCCUCUGUGGGCCCACUUUUCCGAGUGCGUUUCUAGAUGCGAAAUUAUUUAGAAAAAUAUAUAUAUGCCCCAAAACCAUCAGACCAAAAGUGUCGGGCUCUAAUUUUCUAUGGGAAGGUAAAAAUGGACUACGUCUAUUUCUUCAAAUUCCUCAUUGGGCUCUAAAAAUAAUUUAAGACGUUGACCAUUUACCUUGAAUAACGUACCUUCGCUAUUUUGAAGUGUGAUAGCUCCGUGGGAUGAUGAAUUGAUUACCUUGAAUGGUCCUUCCCAUUUGCUCCAGAGUUUUCCAUGCCCGAAAAGCUUUACCCUGGAAUUAAAAAGUAAUACCUUAUCUCCGGGUGUGAACUCCUUCUUCUUGAUUCUCUUGUCAUGCCACCUCUUGACUCUUUCUUUGUAGAUCUUUGAAUUGUGAUAUGCCUUCUCUCGCCAUUCUUCCAAUUCUGAUAGUUGCAUUCUUCUAUAAUCUCCAGCAACAUCUAGGUCCAUAUUCCAUCUCUUUAUGGCCCAGUGUGCUUUGAACUCUAGUUCAACAGGUAGAUGACAAGUCUUCCCGUACACCAAUUGGUAUGGAGACAUUCCAAUUGGGGUCUUGUAUGCUGUCCGGUAUGCCCAGAGUGCAUCGGGUAACUUGUCUUUCCACACUGUUCCCAUUUCAUUUACUGUCUUCUGAAGAAUAUUCUUGAUUUGUUUGUUCGAAGUCUCUGCUUGGCCACUUGUCUGAGGAUGAUAGGGGGUAGCGACGUUGUGACGGAUUCCAUGUCUUGAUAGAUAUUGCUUGAAGCGUUUGUCGAUGAAGUGUGCUCCUCCAUCACUUAUCACUACUCUGGGAACUCCAAAUCUUGGAAAUAUAAUUUCUUCAAACAUCCUCUUUGAACUUACGUUGUCGGCAUGCUUGCAAGGUAAUGCUUCUACCCACUUGGAGACAUAGUCAACCGCCACCAAGAUGUACUCGCACUUCUUUGAUGGAGGAAAUGGAUCCAUGUAGUCUAUUCCCCAGACAUCAAAGAGCUCAAUCUGAAGGUUGUUGGUGAGUGGCAUUGCAUCCCUUGUAUUUAUGUUUCCGUGCCUUUGACAUGGCCCACAUCUUCUGAUAUUUGCUUCGUGUCUUCAUACAUUGUAGGCCAAUAGAAUCCACACUGCCAGAUCUUUGAAUGUGUACGAAAUGCUCCAUAGUGACCUCCAUAUGGUGAUGAAUGACAUCUGUCGAUGAUCUUCCAUCCUUCCUCAGUGGUCACACAUCUCCUGAGUAAGCCGUCAGAGCAUACUCGGAAGAGGUAUGGCUCAUCCCAUAUAUAUGAACGACUUUCUUGAAUAAGCUUCUUCUUGUUUGCUCCUGGUGGUACAUACCCUGAAACCAUAAAAUUAACAAUAUCUGCAUACCAGGGGUCAGACCUGUUAAUCCCGUAGAGCAUGUCGUCCCGGAGUGAAUCAUUGAUUGGGGUUUCCUGUGGACUCUUAAAAUACAUUCUAGACAGGUGAUCAGCAGCAGAAUUUUCUACUCCCUUUUUAUCUUUUAUUUCUAAGUCAAAUUCUUGGAGUAAUAAAAUCCAUCUAAUCAGGCGAGGUUUAGCAUCUUUUUUAGUGAGCAAAUAUUUUAUUGCAGCAUGAUCAGUAUAAACAAUUAUUUUAGCUCCAACUAAAUAAGAUCUAAAUUUAUCAAUGGCAAAGACAACAGCCAGAAGCUCUUUUUCAGUGGUUGCAUAAUUGAGUUGAGCUCCUGUCAAAGUUUUACUGGCAUAAGCAAUUGCAUGAUGCUUCUUAUCUUUAGUUUGUCCCAAUACUGCCCCCACAGCAUAAUCACUAGCAUCACACAUAAUUUCAAAAGGUAACGACCAAUCAGGGGGUUGAAUGAUUGGUGCAGAGAUGAGUGCUUUCUUUAAUAAAUUGAAAGAUGUUAGACAUGCAUCAUCAAAUUCGAAAGGAGCAUCCUUGGCUAGCAAAAGAGUAAGUGGUCUAGCAAUGAAUGAAAAAUCCUUUAUGAAUCUACGAUAAAAACCAGCAUGGCCAAGAAAGCUUCGAAUUCCUUUUAUAUUCACAGGUGGAGGUAGUUGUUCAAUUACUUCAAUUUUAGCUUUGUCUACCUCAAUUCCUCUUUCAGACACUAAGUGUCCCAGCACUAUUCCUUCCCUAACCAUAAAAUGACAUUUUUCCCAAUUAAGGAUUAAAUGCUUUUCUUCACAUCUUUGCAAAACCUUAUCUAAGUUUUCAAGACAACUAUCAAAAGUUUUUCCAUAAACAGAGAAAUCAUCCAUGAAAACAUCCAUAAUCUCUUCAAUCAUAUUAGAAAAUAUAGACAUCAUGCAUCUUUGAAAAGAAGCUGGUGCAUUACAUAACCCAAAAGACAUUCUACGAUAAGCAUAAGUUCCAUAAGGGCAUGUAAAAGUGGUUUUGCUUUGAUCAUCGGGAUGGAUCGGGAUUUGAUGAUACCCUGGAUAUCCAUCUAAGAAACAAAAGAAUGAAUGGUUUGCUAACUGCUCUAGCAUCUCAUCUAUAAAAGGUAAAGGAAAGUGAUCCUUUCUCGUGGCUUUGUUUAGUUUUCUAUAGUCUAUGCACAUCCGCCAUCCUGUGACGAUGCGUUACGGAAUUAGCUCGUUCUUUUCAUUCAUAAUAACUGUCAUGCCUCCCUUUUUGGGCACAACUUGAACUGGGCUCACCCACUCACUGUGCGGCACAGGAUAUAUAAUCCUUGCAUGCAGCAACUUUAUAACUUCCUUUUUAACUACCUCUCUCAUAGUGUUGUUAAGUCUACGUUGGGGUUCUCGAGAGGGUGUAACAGAAGGAUCUGUUGGAAUACGAUGGGUACAAAUCAUAGGACUGAUUCCUGUAAGAUCUUGAAGUGAGUAGCCGAAAACUGAGUGAUGUUUCUUAAGAAUGGUCAUUAAUCGCAGAGUUUGAUCCUGAGUGAGUUUAUCGCUAAUGAUCACAGGGAACUCUGGAUUAUUGUUUAGGAAAGCAUAGGUAAGACCGGGUGGUAAAGUUUUAAGUUCUAUGGGGGGUCUAGGUGUUUCUGCAAACUCAUCUAAGGGUUCAGGCUCGGAAGGUUCGUCUUCUUCUUCUGUGAAGAAAGGAGUUUCAUCUUCUAAGUCUGGUUCAUCUAAAAGCUCUAGAGAUGCAGCCUUUACUUCCUCCAUAGGAUCAGGCAAAAGAUAUGACUCGGCCUUAUUAUUUAAGGAGUGUGAAAUUAUCAUUGGGAAUUGAAAAGUUUUUCCAAAAGAAAUGUGUAGCUUUCCAGUAUGACCUUCAUAAAGGAGUCUUCUAAAAGGUUGUCCUAUCAACAGGUCGAAGUCCCAUGUAUCAAAGAUAUAAAAGUUCAAAUGAACCAUGGAGCCUUCUACCGUAAGAGGUAGGACAUUAAUAAUUCCAAGACUGGGGACUAAUCGUCCCGAAGAUUCCUUUGUGACCUUUGUUGUGGGGGUUAAGAUAAGAUUUUUAAAUAGUUUAAGUGCAAAGGAUUCAGACAUAAUGUUGAUCCCCACAACAGGAUUAUAAAGAGCAUUAAAUCGAUUAGAAUUAUAAGCACAGCGUAUAGUUAUAGAGGUGUGUCCAAACGGAUCACAUCAGAGGAAAGCUCUGAUUCCUCCAACCAUUCGCUACUCAUGACUGAGAUAAGUUCUCUAAAUUGAUAUUCACUUGGUAAAUAAAUGCUAAACUGGCCGUUUUGGGGUUUGUCAAUAGAAUGGUAGUUUGAAAUAUUUCCAAAAUCGGCAAAAAGAUCGGAUUCUAUAUCCAGCAUGAAGUCCGGUAGUGGAAUUUCUUCCUCUUGAGGCUCAGAACUUGGGAUAACUAGAGUAGAUGAAGAAUUUGGCAGAGUGUCUACUUCGGCUUCGUAGGUUUCAUCAUGAAGGGUAUUAUCCAUCUCAGCUUCUAGGAUUCUAUCUAGGAUCACUCUUGCUUCAUCAGCAGGGAUGCGAAAGAAAGAACCUCUAGACAUUGUGUGUAGCAUUUGUUUGUAGCAUUUGUUUGUGUGUAGCAUUUGUUUGUGAUUUUUAUGAAGACCUCGAAAAAAGUGAAAUAAAAGAACAGGGUCUUCAAGAUUAAGGUUUGGACUAGAUUCUAAAAGAUCAGAAAAAUGUUUCCAGGAUUUUCCCAAAGUUUCAUUAUCUUUUUGUUUAAAAGAUAGGACUUCGAGUCUAAGGUCGGCUAUACGGUCAAGGGAAUAGAAAUCUAGACAAAAGUUGGCUCGUAAAACUCCCCAUUCUCCUUGUUGUUGACUUACCUUCUGACUGUACCAUUGUCUAGCUUCUCCCCUUAGAGAAAAAGGAAAAAGCUUCCAACGUAAAGUCUUAUCAGAAAUGCCUUCAAUGCGAAGACAAUCACAUGUUUGCUCAAAAUCUCUAAUAUGAAGGUAAGGGUUUUCGUCUUCCUUUCCCGAAAAAGAUAGGUUUUGAAUCAUGGCAAUCAACCUAGAACUUAACUUAUACUAGGAUGUUUGGAUAGGCUGUGAUGAUUCCCAUGGUAAAAGGUUAGUUGCUAAAGGGAUUGCAGAUUCAUGGAUCGAUUUAGAAUUUUGGUUUUCCAUAAGGUAAGAAUAAAGAAAAUAAAUAAAGAAUAUAAAAGAUAAGAAAAGAUAAAAGUAUAGAUACAAGCUAAUAGCAAGACACAGGUUAUCUCAGCAACCGUCUUUCUCCCCGGCAACGGCGCAAGAAAUGCUUGUUGAUAUUUGGGAACGCAAUAAGGAAUUGAUCCGCAAGCGCACGGAUAUCGGUGAGCACUUCACCCGGGAAAUUAUCCAGAGUAUCGUAUUUAUUUUUUUUACCACUAGGAGAAAGAGUGCAUCUGACUAACCGGUCUAUUACUACUAACCUUUAGGCACAAAGAAUGUCUUUUGAUGUGAGUGAUAAAUAGAGAAGACUGCAACCGUAGUCUCCUUCUAACCUUGGUAAGGAUGAUCUAUUGUUCUAAUGGGGAGGCUAACGGAAUCUAGACACCACAAAGGAUGUUCGACCCACACCUAUAAACCCUAUCCUUCCUGCUAACGAGAUGUGAUCUACAAAGGUAGCUCGGAAUUGUCACGUUCCUCACUACUACCACGGUCCAGCUAGUCAGGGAAUAUCUAUGAGUACCCCAGCCUAAACACCACGUUUACGCCAGCAAUGAUUACUCUAAACUCUACGCGAAGAGAUUAAAGUAAACUCAUAAACCAUAAGAACAAUAAAACAAGAACUUACUAGAAUUUAGAAGUCGAAUUACUGAAGAAUUCUAGGAGCAAGCUUCGGGUUAGGAGAACUUGAUCCCGCAGGUACAAGCUUGGAGUAGACACCGACAGGCCGGGCUUCCUCCACUCUACACCUCCACUCUAUCUCUCUCAAUCUAGUAGAAACUAGAAGAUCUAUUUCUACCUUACAUUGAUUGCUAAGCCUAAAAAGAAAUAUUAAUUAGAGAAGAGGUUUUCCUUCGAGGGCACCCCUCAGUCUCUAUGAUAAUUUCUUCAUGUCUUCUCCAGGGGCCAGGGGGGCCUUGCUUAUAUAGUCCUCCCCUUCUAUGCAUUUUUGGGUCGAUAGCCGAGGUGGUGCUAUGUUUUUCUUGAUCCAAUAGGUCGGUGGAAUAUUCCGAACGAAAGAGUCCUGAUUUGGCUCCAGCAGGGGGGCGGGCGCCCAGGCUUCCAGGGCGGGCGCCCUGGGCCUGGCCCAGUUUUGCCUCCGCUUCGGUCUCGUGGCUUCUGGAGUCUUCUAGAUGAUGUAAAAUUGCGCGGUGCGUUGAUAUCUCUAUGUAAUCCUGACAUGUGGGCCUUUCUUCCUUAUUUCCUGAUAACCCCCUGCAGAAACAGAUAAACAACAAAACUCGUAGAAUUCUGUCAGAUCAAACCCUAAUUCUAGGUGAUGGUUGCAUAUUGGUCCUUUCUCAUGUUUAUUUGAUAAUUAAAAUUGAUACUUAAGAACCGUCAACACUUGGUCAGCAGAUUGGUGGUCAGAUGGUUAACCCAAUGUUCCAUGCGGAUCGUGCACCUCAGAGACACGUGGAAGCAUAUCAACAGGUGCAAGAUCCACAACCGCCUCAUCGGCAAGACGCCGAUGCUUAUUGGGCCGAUAAGAUAGCUGAAGUAACGAGAGACCAAUUUGGGAUAAAGCCCAAAGUCAACACUUACUCUUAUCGGACACCGUAUCCUCCUGCAUAUGAUUUAAUUCCACUUCCAAAUCGGUACAAGGUUCAUCGACUAUGGAGCAUGUCAACAGGUUCAUCAUUCAAUGUGGGGAAGCUGCUAACAGAGAUGAAUUGAGGGUUCGUCUGUUUUCAUCAUCUUUGUCUGGAUCGGCUUUUACCUGGUUUACUUCGUUACCUCCUAACUCAGUGAUCACUUGGGCCGAUCUAGAGAAGCAGUUCCACAAGUACUUCUUCUCUGGAGUCCAUGAGAAGAAAAUUACCGAUUUAGUCAGGUUGAAGCAACGUAAUGAUGAAUCGGUUGAAAGUUUUGUGCAGAGAUUGCGGGAGGUCAAGAAUAAAUGCUAUAGUCUGGUUCUAGAUGAUCAGCAGCUUGUCGAUUUGGCUUUUCAGGGACUGUUGCCACAUAUCAGAGACAAGUACGCUUCUCAAGAGUUCGAAAGUCUGAGUCACUUGAUGCAGAGGAUUUCUGACCAGAAUAUCAAACCAUUUGAGCCCAAGAGGGCAAGGAAUAAAAAGGUGUCGUUUGUUGAUGAGGCAGCAAGCUCAGACUCUGAUGAGGAGCCGGUCAUCGGCUUAGCAGAAUGGGUGAAGAACAAAAAGCCGAUGUCUUGCCCUUUUGGGCAUAAGGAGCCAGAGAAGUUUGCAUUUGACAUUACUAAGGCCGAUAGGAUAUUUGACUUUCUACUUCAGGAAGGGCAAAUCAAAUUGUCACCCAAUCAUGUAAUCCCAUCGGCUGAGGAAUUAAAGAAGAUGAAAUAUUGCAAGUGGCAUAAUGCGACAUCUCACAGCACAAAUGAGUGCAAGGUCUUCUAGCAACUGCUGCAAUCGGCUAUAGAAUCUGGGAGGAUCAAGUUUGAUAAUUCUAAAGCCCAGAAGCCGAUGAAGAUGCUCAGCGUCAAAUUACUGCUGCCGAUGCUAAAGGAAAGGGUUUGAUCCAGGAAGGAAAUAGCUCAGGAAGGCCUUCCCGAUCUGGCAUUGUGAUAACUCAUAGAAGGCAUCGGGAGACUUGGUAGCAACGUGAAGAUCGGUAUUGACGUCAACAAGACGAUUACCGUCGGGAAGAAGAAAGACGCCGACAGGAGUGGAAUCGGCAUAAAGAUCACUGGAACUGCCCGUUCUUUAUCCAUUGCUGGGAGCAGAACAUUAAAUUACCCACUGUUAGAGAUUGCCCUGAAUGCAAUGGUUAUGAUCGGUAUGACAGACCCGAUCGGUGCUAUCAAGAUGAUGAUCGGCGAUUUGAUUGGCCGAUUAGGGGGAGGACUUCAGUUCAUGAUCGGCUGGGGGGCAGGCUCAGUGUGCAUGAUAGGCUUGGUGAUCGUGUUGAAUACUUUCCUAGGAACCAAGAGGAGCUUGAAGAGAUGGGAAAUGCUCGAGUCACCGAUGAGUUCAUAUUCUGUAGAGAUGCCAAUACCUAUCGGGUGGAGUCAAGGGAAAGUCAUCGCCCAUCAGCAAGGUAGCCACAGCUUCCUCCAUGGUGUCUAGAGGGAUUGACUAGGACACAGAAGAGAAGGUUGCAGCUUGAAAGGCGAGAAGAGCUAAGCAAAUGCGAAAAUUCUGGCCAAUCUGGAGAUCAGCAGCAACCAGAUCCUGAGGGAAAAGGGCCAUCGGCAGAUGUUAACAUGGUAUUCAUGUUGCCGAUGUAGUUUCUUGCGCCGUCCAAUGAUGACGAUGAACUGGAUUUUCCCGAUCAGAUAGCUCAGUUGGCUCUGGAUCCGAUGACGGCUAUCUUUGAAAAGCCUGCCGACAAUGAAAGGCAGCAUCUUAAAGCUCUGUUCGUCAAAGGAAGAGUUGAUGGGCAGCCGAUGACUAAGAUAUUAAUUGAUGGUGGGGCUGCUAUUAACAUCAUUCCGUACGCAGUCAAUCGGAAACUUGAGAAAGGAGAUCAAGAUUUGACCAAGACCGAUAUGAUGCUAAAAGACUUUGAAGGGAAUGUGUCUCCGGUUAAAGGGGCAAUAUGUGUUGAGUUGACCAUCGGCAGCAAAACCUUGCCGACAAUGUUCUUCGUGAUCAGUGGAAAAGGUGCAUACAAUCUGCUACUAGGGAGAGACUCGAUCCAUGCCAAUUGUUGCAUCCCAUCAACAAUGCACCAAUGCUUAGUCUAGUGGGUAGGUGACAAGAUUGAGAUUGUCUCGGGAGAUUCUUCUUAUGUCAUCGCAUCGGCAGAAGCAGACAAUUAUGAAAGGACCAGGUGUAUCUCAUGAGAGAUUUGGGAGAAAGAUUUCCUCAAAGUUGCCGAUUAUGAAAUUCCACCGAUCCAAGCAGUCGGUUCUGAUGAAGAGUUUUAAUGGAUAGGUUCGUCGAUGAUGGAAAAUUAGGCCAAGGGUUUACAUCGGCUGAUGAGUUAGUGGAGGUAGAUAUAGGUAAUGGUGAUAAGCCUAGACCUACUUUUAUUAGUGCUAAGUUAAAUUCUGAGUGUAAGCAACAGUUAACUGAUUUAUUAAAGGAAUAUAAAUAUUGCUUUGCUUGGGAUUAUACAGAGAUGCCUGGUUUAGACCGAUCUAUUGUUGAACAUCGGUUGCCCAUCAAGUCUAGAUUUCGGCCACAUCAACAGCCAGCUCACUGAUGUAAUCCUAAUAUUCUUCCUGAUAUUUUUGCCGAAAUAACCAAACUCAUCGAAGCUAAAUUUAUUCGGCAGUGUCGGUAUGCCGAGUGGAUUUCCAAUGUUGUUCCAGUUUACAAGAAAAAUGGGAAGCUUCGAGUUUGCAUUGAUUUCAGGAAUCUCAAUAAAGCUACGCCGAUGGAUGGUUACCCAACGCCGGUUGCCGAUUUACUAGUUGAUGCUGCGGCUGGGCAUCGGAUCAUAAGCUUUAUGGAUGGCAAUGCAGGAUAUAAUCAGAUAUUCAUGGCUGAAGAAGAUAUUCCAAAGACUGCGUUUAGGUGUCCUGGUCAUGUUGGGUUGUUUGAAUGGAUAGUCAUGACCUUUGGCUUAAAAAUGCUAGUGCUACCUAUCAGAGGGCUAUGAAUUUUAUCUUUCAUGAGUUCAUCGGCAAGCUGGUGGAAAUUUAUAUUGAUGAUGUGGUGGUUAAGUCUGGAGAUUUCACAAAGCAUCUUGCCGAUCUGCGAAAAGUGUUAGAAUGUACAAGGAAACAUGGUUUAAAGAUGAACCCUAACAAGUGUGCAUUCGGCGUAUUGGCAGGGCAAUUUUUUGGUUUCAUGGUGCAUCAAAGGGGAAUUGAAAUUAGUAGGAGAUCUAUUGAUGCUAUCAACAAAAUAGUGGCUCCUACCAACAAAACCGAGCUCCAAUAUCUGAUCGGCAAAGUAAAUUUUAUCAGGCGAUUUAUUUCCAACUUAUCCGGAAAAAUUCACGCUUUUAGUCCUUUACUUAAAUUAAAAGCCGAUCAAGAAUUUAUAUGGGGAGAAGAGCAACAGUUGGCUCUGGAUGAAAUCAAGAAUUAUUUGACAAAUCCCCCAGUCUUAAUUCCACCUCAGCAAGGAAAGCCCUUCAGAUUAUAUUUGUCUACCGAUGGAGUGGUCCUCAGUUCGGCUUUGAUUCAAGAAUUUGAAGGGAAGGAGCGUGUGAUUUACUAUUUAAGCAGAAGAUUGAUUGAUGCUGAGACUAGGUAUUCGGCUAUUGAGAAAUUAUGUUUAUGCCUAUAUUUCUCAUGUAUUAAAUUGAGGCACUAUUUGUUAUUGGCCGAAUGCACUGUUAUAUGCAAAGAUGACGUGGUCCGAUAUAUGCUAUCGAUGCCGAUUAUGAGUGGUAGGAUCGGUAAGUGGAUUUUGGCACUAUCAGAAUUCGAUCUGCGUUACGAAUCGGCUAAAGCAGUUAAAGGACAAAUUAUGGCCGAUUUUGUGACUCAACAUUGCGGUGCAGUGGAGACUUUGGAAAUUGUGACUUGGACACUCUUCUUUGAUGGAUCCACGUGUGACCGGGGGGCAGGAAUCGGCAUAGUGUUAAUUUUCCCUCAUGGAAGAAAAUACGAAUUCUCUUUGCCACUUGUUGCUACGUCAACAAAUAAUCAAGGCGAAUAUCAAGCUUUGAUCAAAGGAUUGGAGUUACUAAAAGAGUUUCAUGCUGAUGUUGUUGAGGUCUUCGGAGAUCCUAUGCUAGUUAUAAAUCAAUUGGCUGGAAGUUAUGAAUGCUGAAGUGAAGUUCUGAUAACUUAUUACAAAAAGAGUAUGCAACUAUUAAGGGAAUUCAAAGAUUUCCGAUUAGAGCAUGUUCCUCGAUUGCAUAAUAAGGAGGCUAAUCGGUUGGCUCAACAUGCCUCGGGAUAUCAGCCUAUAUUAAAUACAAUAUCGACAAUUGGUGCUGAUGAUUGGAGAAAAGAAAUUAUUGAAUAUUUAAAGAAAACAUCCAAGAAGGUUGAGAGGCGUGUCUGGUUUCAAGAUACCAAGUAUGUACUUCUCGGAGAUGAGCUUUAUUACCGAACAAUAGAUGGGAUUCUUCUCAGAUGCUUAGGUGAUGAUGAAGCUAAAAGUUUGAUGGGUGAAAUCCAUGAAGGGGUGUGUGGAGCACAUCAGUCGGCUUUUAAGAUGAAAUGGAUGAUUAGGAGGAAUGGGUAUUAUUGAACAACCAUACUUGAAUAUUGUUUCGAAUAUUUCAAGGGAUGUCAAGGAUGUCAGAAAUUUGGUAAUAUUCAAAUAGCACCCGCAUCGGCCAUGAAUCCCAUUAUUAAACCUUGGCCGUUCCGGGGAUGGGCUAUUGAUCUAAUCGGCCAGAUUUACCCGCCAUCAAGCAAAGGGCAUAAGUUUAUCUUGGUUGCCACUGAUUAUUUCACCAAGUGGGUUGAGGCUAUUCCUUUGAAAAAAGUUACAUCGGCCAAUAUGAUUUAUUUUGUAAAAGAGCAUAUUAUUUACCGAUUUGGUAUUCCUCAAACGAUUACUACCGAUCAGGGUACUAUGUUUACAUCGGGAGAGUUUGAUGAAUUUGCAAUCGGUAUGGGGAUUAAAGUGUUGAAUUCUUCCCCUUAUUAUGCUCAAGCCAAUGGGCAGGCCGAGGCGACUAACAAAGGAAUUAUUAAACUUAUCAAACGAAAGAUUGAGGAAAAUCCUAGGAGGUGGCAUACGGUGUUAAAUGAAGCUUUAUGGUCAUAUCGGAUGGCUUGUCAUGGGUCGACCAAAGUUUCGCCUUAUCAGUUGGUGUAUGGACACGAUGUUGUGUUACCAUGGGAGAUUAAAACCAGAUCUAGGCGAUUAUCUUUUCAAGAUCAGCUGACUGCCGAUGACAAUGCUACUUUGAUGAAAGACGAGUUGGAUUAUUUAGCAGGGCAUCGGCUGAGGGCUUUGAUGAGUAUAGAAGAAAAUAAAAAGAGAGUUGCUAGAUGGUAUGAUAAGAAGGUAAAGGCUAAGGAGUUUGCCAAUGGAGACUUAGUAUGGAAACUAAUCUUAUCGAUCGGGACUAAAAGUUCAAAAUUUGGGAAGUGGUCUCCUAAUUGGGAAGGUCCUUAUCGGAUAAAUCGAUUUGCUCCUGGCAAUGCCUAUAUUUUAGAAACCCUCGAAAGAGUUGAAUUUCCUAGGGCAUUGAAUGGCAAAUAUUUAAAGAAAUAUUACCCUAGCAUAUGGAUUGAUGCGUGAAAGUUUAAGUGCCGAUAACAUUCCUAUCGCUGGAUCAAAGUGUAUCUCGGGCCAGACUCAAUGUUUUAAAUAGGUGCCAAUAACUGUCCUAUCGGCUAGACCAAAAUGUUCAUGAGUUCUCAGAGCAAAGCACGUCAUCGAUGAAAAGUUCAUGCAUUCAGCAAGGCUUGGAUGGCCGAUAUAGCGCGCAGUCGAAUUUGAUCGGCUUCUUCUAUCUCUUUGAUAUCUUCAUCGGCAGAGCCUUCCAUCGGUUUCAACUUCAUCUUCAUCUGCAGUGCCUUGCGAGCUUGGGCGUUCCGCUCUUGUUCAAGGGUCUUGAUUAUCUCAGGCAGCUGACUUUCUUCCUGUUGAGCUUGGGACAAUGCCUCUUCUACUUGUUUAAGCUCUGCCAGUAGGACUUCUCUCUUUGCCGAUAGGUCAGAGAUCUUUAGCUUCAGCGUAUCUCCUGACGAUUUCAGAAUGCCGAUGCUCUUAUGUUUUUCAUCGGCAAGGUGCUUUACUUUCAUCACCUCCUCUGAGAGCUGGGCAUGAGCAGCUCUAUCGCCAAGGCGCUGGGUGGCCUUUUGGUACUGGAGCUCUCGACUCUCCAAGUGAGCAGCCUUGAAGAGAAUCUCCUCGGCAUCGACAGGGAUUUGGCCUCUGAGAGCCUUGAACAGAGCAUUGGCUGGAUCGGAGUCGUCAACCAGUUGGGUUGUGUCUUGAUGAAGGAGGGCCGACAGAUCUUCCAGUUUUGCUCUGAUUUCUGCCAAUGAGAUCCCAAUUGCUUGAGAAGAACUCGCUUCCUCACCUUCAUCUUCGGAGAUUUCGAUGGCGAAGGAGAACUGGCUGUCGGGAGAAUCUUGUUCCUGAAAAGGAGAUGGAUUAAUUGAUGAUGAAAUAUUAGUAAAAUAAAGAAUAAUAAUCAAAUAACUUACUUGUUUCAGAGCUAUCUCUCGCCUAUGGCUGGUUGAGGCCGAUGGUACUACAGGUUGAUCGGAUGGAAUUGCCGAUGAAACUAUGUCAGCUGAAAGAUUAAUAAAAAUAAUUAUAAAGUGGAAAAAUAGGUCUAUCGGCAGUAAUUUCAUAGAGAGUACGUUACCUUGAGGGGGUGCAGUACUUGUUUGAAUCGAAGAAACUACCGAUGCUAUGAUUAAGCUUGCUGGAUCGGUGGUCUGCUCGUGUACAUCAGCUGAUAUUUCUUCUGGCUGAGGUUCUUCUGGCUGAGGUUCUUCUGGCUGGGGUUCUAUUUGUGGAUGAGGAGGAGACGGUGCUUGUUGUGUCUGAGCUUCUGGAGAAGAGGGGGAUGCUUCUAUAGGGAUCAGUGACCUUGGAGGAGGGGGAGGCGUUGUUGUUCUCCGACGCUUCGCUUGUGACUUGGUACUCUUGGGACCCUUUCUCUUUGGUUGACUGGACUGGGGGGCAUCGGCAGUCGUACUUCUGGUCUUUGCCGAUUUGCCAGUUUGUUGAUACAACAAUGAAAGUUUUAUGAGUACAAAUGUAAUAGGGUAUUGAUGUGGUUCUGAUUGAAAUAAUAAAAGUUAUCGAUGAACUUCCCAUGCUAGCCAAUGUGUCCUGAAAAAUUGUGUAAAUGUAAGAAUGGAAUCGGUAUAAGUUGAGGAAUUCAAGAAUUUACCUUGAAAGCUUGUGCCAAAGCAGUGGCAGCUAACGAUGGGGAUGUUUACGUUCGCUUGGUGGUGAUUUUCUUGAAACGCACACCCCGGUGCAUUAAAGCAGCCAAGCUUGGAGCGUUGUUGCGGAUCAAAGAGAUCAGGCCCGAUGGAAGGAGUUCGAUUGGCCUGCCACUUCUGCUAACUGAUGGUGGCAUAUCAUCGACCUGUAUAAAACAAAGAAAGUGAGUUGCCGAUAGAAAAUGAGAGUGAAAGGAUUGAAACAUCGGUUAAAAUGCUUACAGUAUUAUCGAGGACCUUCUAUUUGGGGUCGAUCAUGCCACGAUAUGUGAGGGCCGAUCUGCAGAACAAAUGCUCUUUCCACUCUUCCCACCACUGUGUGUAUGCCUGAGUAAUGAAGAGAGCUGGGAUCCAAGCUGAUAGGUCGACAUCUGUAUCGGCAUUUGGCAGAAGUUGAGCUAUUCUGAUCCACUCAAGGUUGCUGGUGAUGGUCUCCCUCGGCUUUACCACAUCGGCGUAGCAAAGUGCAAUCGGCAGCUGACCGAAAGCCAGUUGGCGAGCUAGUGCCGAUGGAUUGUAAAACUCGUAGGUCAGAUUAGAAACUUUCCCACUACCAAAGAAGUUCACUGGUAUGGCCCUUGGGGUGAUAAUUGCCAUCAUCACAUCACGGUCCUUGUUGAGAGCAUCAUUGAACGGAUGAAAGGUCAGGGGAAAUCUGGUGUCUGGAUCUUCAUAAGGCAUCCAUGCCCGCUGUUCUCUGGUCAGACCUUCAUAGAGAGUUUGAAAGAAUCGGCUAACCUGGUUUUCAUUACUACUAGUGCCAGGUAAAAGUAUGGUAGCUUCGCCAAAGUUCAAAGGGGAACGAGUUGCCGAUGCUUCUUCAUCCAAUUCAUAAUCCUCUGCUAUGUCCCUGGGGAAGCACUGUGCAAAGAGGUCGAAUUCAAGGCGUUUGUGCAUGUGGAGACUAAGCCACAUGUUGAUAAACCACCAAGGACCCCCUAAGUUGCCGAUGGGUUGACCGAGCAGAAGUUUCUUGGCUACCUGAUGGAGGAUGUGAUAGGCAGAACCAAGCAGGUAUCGGCGAAGAGGAAAUCGGCCAUCGUUGGCUAAUCUUUCUGCUACCGAUAGGUAAACAGAAGAUGGUCCUGCUCUCAAGUUUAGACAUAACUGUUAUAAUUUAAAGCUUGCUCUAGAUCUAAACUUGUGGGAUGAAAACUUGAUCUGAAAUCUAUGUUGUUAACAGAUAUGAUAUGGGAAGGUUGAGCUGCUGUUUAUCUAUUCCUAGAGAUGCUAGAAUUCUGGAGAAUUUUAUCUUUGAAAAAUCUUUAAAAUAUUGCAUGAUGAGUUCCUGUAUGAUGAAAGUUUAAAUUCCUACCACAGCCAUAUAUACAUGCUUGCUAGACUUUGAGCCACACAUUUACUAUUUACUGCUUAUGAGCAUUGAGUGUGGUCAAGCUGUGUAGACCCUUAGGAGCUUGUCAUGUGGUUAAAUCAAGGUUUCACUUGCACAUUCACUCAUAUAUGCUACUUCUACUCCGGAAGUACCACCCACAUAUAUCCACUCAUUUCCAUCUCGAGAACCACCCAAAAAUAUUAUACUCCUAAUCCGGGAGAGAAUAACCAAAAAUAUUUAUGUUUUUCCUUGUGAAAUAAAUGCUCAAGUUAUCUUGUUACUACCACUUGCUAUAUUAUCUCAUGAGAUGAGUGCUCUAAAAAAAAGAGGAGAGAAAAAAAUAUACGAGGAAAUAAAAAGGGGCAAGUGCCCGGAACCUCGAAAGAAAAGAAAAAGAGUGAGACGAGAGGUAAAAAUGGACAAGUGUCCGACAGUAGAAUUAGGGGUACUGGAUACCCACCUGAGAGGAAAGAAAAAUGAAAGAUAGAGCAUCUCAUUCACCUCAUAAAGUUUUAAAAAGCAAGUAAGGUAUGUAUCCCCUCAAAAGAGCAAAAGUAGAAUUAGACUUCCACCAUUGUUAUCACCAUCAUCACCAUACACCAUUCAUUCACCACACA
rnacentral:lncRNA from 1 species